AGAACGAACGCUGGCGGCAUGCCUAAUACAUGCAAGUCGAACGAACUCUUCGGAGUUAGUGGCGCACGGGUGCGUAACGCGUGGGAAUCUGCCCCUUGGUUCGGAAUAACAGUUGGAAACGACUGCUAAUACCGGAUGAUGACGAAAGUCCAAAGAUUUAUCGCCAAGGGAUGAGCCCGCGUAGGAUUAGCUAGUUGGUGAGGUAAAGGCUCACCAAGGCAACGAUCCUUAGCUGGUCUGAGAGGAUGAUCAGCCACACUGGGACUGAGACACGGCCCAGACUCCUACGGGAGGCAGCAGUAGGGAAUAGUUGGACAAGUGGGACAAAGCCUAGAUCCAGCAAUCGCCGCGUGAGUGAUGAAGGUCGUUAGGUUGUAAGUCUUCGUUUACCCGAGUAUGAAUAA
rnacentral:rRNA from 1 species